AAUGGGCUUCUUUGCGAUCGUUACAUGCAGGAAGUUGUAACGAUGUUAUCUUCAAUCUCAUGAUUUCCAGAAUAUCAUUUGAAGGAUUUUGGCCUGAUGUUAGUGCCAGGUUGGUUUACAGUACUUGAGAGAGAAUUCAUGAACUGUUGACCUCAACACAACUGUAGAGAGUCAGCAUUUGGACAGAAAAGUGUGAUGCGUUGAGAAACUCACAAGAUCGCUUAUGUAACAUUCCGGCAAAAAUUUUUUGACCUGAAUCUACUCGUCAGGAAACAAUCCAAAUUUCGAGACAUACUGUAAAACAAGUGGUCAGCACUCUUCAAAAAUGCCAAUGACAUAAAAGGCAUAAAGGGGCUGGUGAACUGAUCAGAUUAGAGAAGACUAAUCUAAUUAAAGAAAUAUGACAACUAAAUGCAAUGUGCGAUUCCUGAUUAAUUUUUGGAUAAGAAGAAAACUAUAAAGGACACUAUUGCAACAAUUGGCAAAAUUUGAAUCGGGACUGUAUCUUAGAUACUAGUUUUUUAAUUAAUGUUAUAUUUCCUGAGUGUGAUCAUUGCAUUGUGUUACGUAGGAGAAUAUUUUGUUCUCAGAGAUGCACGCUGAAGUAUUUAGGGAUGAAGUGUCAAAGUCUGCAAGCAGCUCUCAAAUGACUGAGGGAAAAAAAUAUGUAUAUAUAUAAAGAAAGCAAAUGAGGCAAAUUGUUGAAACGGGAGAAUCUAGGGUAAUGGCAAAUCAGGUAUGCAAGUAUUAUUCUUGCAACUCUUUUGAAUGUGAAAUUUUUCAAAAUAAAAAAAUUUGAAAAAUGCAUAUACGAAUAAGAGAGAAUUAGAUUGGGUGAACAAUAUAAAGUAGUGUGAAUCCAGUUGUUAUCAAUAAU